UUCUUCUUCUUCUUCUUCCCGGUUACGAGUCGAACUCUAUAAAAGUGUAAUUGACUCGGGCGCAUCUCAAACAGACAGGAGGCCACUCCUCUCUGGCCAAAAGUAAAAGUCCAGGAAAAUCUGGAUGGUAUUUACAAUAAAAUAUGCUUAAUUACAACUAUAUACACUGGUUCUCCUGCUGUCUAUUUGAGGUGUGGUUGGGUCCAGGGGAUGAUGUUCACUCUGGCCCUGAAGUCCUCUAGUGAUCCGGACUCCACUACUGAUUCUGGGAGUUUGUUCCACUCUCUUGUUGUUCUCGGGAAGAAUGAGUGAUAGAAGACGUCUCUCUUCACUCUUGUUUGUCUAAAUUUGUGGUUGCCCCUGGUUCUACUGUCCCCUGAUGCAUAGUACUUGGCUGGAUCAAUG
rnacentral:lncRNA from 1 species